AAAGGCUUCCUUGUAGCUUAGAUCCUUAACCAACAAUUAAGAAAGGAAACUUCAUUACAUAGGAUUAAGCUGGGUUUAAACUCUAGUUUCCGAGCCAAAAAUCGUCUUUUUAAUUGAUUGUUAUUCAGUCUAUCAUCCAUCAGCAAACCUCAUCUUUGAAAGAAGAAUUUGUUUGGAAUCGCCCUUGAACUCAAUGGAGUUUCCUGAUCCUACACAAUUCCCUGAAUAAUGCUGGAGAAUCCCAACAAGAUUGGCCACUGCCAAUGGACUCCAUGUGGAGUUCAGUUGCAGAGUGUAAUGACAGGUGCAGCACCAUCUGUCUCUUGAGUCAUAGAGCUGAACACCACGGAAACAGGCCCAACACAUCCAUGCU